UACGAAGGUCCCAAGCGUUGUUCGGAAUCAUUGGGCGUAAAGCGAGUGCGGGUGGCUUCUUAAGUCAGGAGUGAAAUCCCAGAGCUUAACUCUGGAAGUGCUUUUGAUACUGGGAAGCUUGAAUGUGGCAGAGGAUACUAGAAUACCUAAUGUAGUGGUGAAAUACGUAGAUAUUAGGUGGAACACCGGUGGCGAAGGCGGGUAUCUGGGCCAACAUUGACACUUAGACUCGAAAGCGUGGGGAUCAAACAGG
rnacentral:rRNA from 1 species